UACGGAGGAUGCGAGCGUUAUCCGGAUUUAUUGGGUUUAAAGGGUGCGUAGGCGGCUUUUAAGUCAGCGGUGAAAUUUUGCAGCUUAACUGUAACAGUGCCGUUGAUACUGGGGAGCUAGGAUUUGGUUGCUGUGGGUGGAAUGUGUGGUGUAGCGGUGAAAUGCUUAGAGAUCACACAGAAUAUCGAUUGCGAAGGCAGCUCACAAAGCCAAGAUUGACGCUGAGGCACGAAAGUGUGUGGAUCAAACAGGA
rnacentral:rRNA from 1 species